AAGAGUUUGAUCCUGGCUCAGAUUGAACGCUGGCGGCAUGCCUUACACAUGCAAGUCGAACGGUAACGCGGGGCAACCUGGCGACGAGUGGCGAACGGGUGAGUAACACAUCGGAACGUGCCCAGUAGUGGGGGAUAGCCCGGCGAAAGCCGGAUUAAUACCGCAUACGACCUAAGGGUAAAAGCAGGGGAUCGCAAGACCUUGCGCUAUUGGAGCGGCCGAUGUCAGAUUAGGUAGUUGGUGGGGUAAAAGCCUACCAAGCCGACGAUCUGUAGCUGGUCUGAGAGGACGACCAGCCACACUGGGACUGAGACACGGCCCAGACUCCUACGGGAGGCAGCAGUGGGGAAUUUUGGACAAUGGGCGCAAGCCUGAUCCAGCCAUGCCGCGUGCGGGAAGAAGGCCUUCGGGUUGUAAACCGCUUUUGUCAGGGAAGAAACGGUCUGGGUUAAUACCCUGGGCUAAUGACGGUACCUGAAGAAUAAGCACCGGCUAACUACGUG
rnacentral:rRNA from 1 species